rnacentral:rRNA from 1 species
CGUUCUGUAAGCCUGCGAAGGUGUGCUGUGAGGCAUGCUGGAGGUAUCAGAAGUGCGAAUGCUGACAUAAGUAACGAUAAAGCGGGUGAAAAGCCCGCUCGCCGGAAGACCAAGGGUUCCUGUCCAACGUUAAUCGGGGCAGGGUGAGUCGACCCCUAAGGCGAGGCCGAAAGGCGUAGUCGAUGGGAAACAGGUUAAUAUUCCUGUACUUGGUGUUACUGCGAAGGGGGGACGGAGAAGGCUAUGUUGGCCGGGCGACGGUUGUCCCGGUUUAAGCGUGUAGGCUGGUUUUCCAGGCAAAUCCGGAAAAUCAAGGCUGAGGCGUGAUGACGAGGCACUACGGUGCUGAAGCAACAAAUGCCCUGCUUCCAGGAAAAGCCUCUAAGCAUCAGGUAACAUCAAAUCGUACCCCAAACCGACACAGGUGGUCAGGUAGAGAAUACCAAGGCGCUUGAGAGAACUCGGGUGAAGGAACUAGGCAAAAUGGUGCCGUAACUUCGGGAGAAGGCACGCUGAUAUGUAGGUGAGGUCCCUCGCGGAUGGAGCUGAAAUCAGUCGAAGAUACCAGCUGGCUGCAACUGUUUAUUAAAAACACAGCACUGUGCAAACACGAAAGUGGACGUAUACGGUGUGACGCCUGCCCGGUGCCGGAAGGUUAAUUGAUGGGGUUAGCGCAAGCGAAGCUCUUGAUCGAAGCCCCGGUAAACGGCGGCCGUAACUAUAACGGUCCUAAGGUAGCGAAAUUCCUUGUCGGGUAAGUUCCGACCUGCACGAAUGGCGUAAUGAUGGCCAGGCUGUCUCCACCCGAGACUCAGUGAAAUUGAACUCGCUGUGAAGAUGCAGUGUACCCGCGGCAAGACGGAAAGACCCCGUGAACCUUUACUAUAGCUUGACACUGAACAUUGAGCCUUGAUGUGUAGGAUAGGUGGGAGGCUUUGAAGUGUGGACGCCAGUCUGCAUGGAGCCGACCUUGAAAUACCACCCUUUAAUGUUUGAUGUUCUAACGUUGACCCGUAAUCCGGGUUGCGGACAGUGUCUGGUGGGUAGUUUGACUGGGGCGGUCUCCUCCUAAAGAGUAACGGAGGAGCACGAAGGUUGGCUAAUCCUGGUCGGACAUCAGGAGGUUAGUGCAAUGGCAUAAGCCAGCUUGACUGCGAGCGUGACGGCGCGAGCAGGUGCGAAAGCAGGUCAUAGUGAUCCGGUGGUUCUGAAUGGAAGGGCCAUCGCUCAACGGAUAAAAGGUACUCCGGGGAUAACAGGCUGAUACCGCCCAAGAGUUCAUAUCGACGGCGGUGUUUGGCACCUCGAUGUCGGCUCAUCACAUCCUGGGGCUGAAGUAGGUCCCAAGGGUAUGGCUGUUCGCCAUUUAAAGUGGUACGCGAGCUGGGUUUAGAACGUCGUGAGACAGUUCGGUCCCUAUCUGCCGUGGGCGCUGGAGAACUGAGGGGGGCUGCUCCUAGUACGAGAGGACCGGAGUGGACGCAUCACUGGUGUUCGGGUUGUCAUGCCAAUGGCACUGCCCGGUAGCUAAAUGCGGAAGAGAUAAGUGCUGAAAGCAUCUAAGCACGAAACUUGCCCCGAGAUGAGUUCUCCCUGACCCUUUAAGGGUCCU